rnacentral:rRNA from 1 species
UUGAAAGGGAAACGAUUGAAGUCAGUCGUACCGACGAGAAAUCAACUUAUCGUGUGCGAACUUGUGGGCGUGCGUGAGUUUCGGCCUCGCUGUUUGCAUGUUUGUGCGCUUCGGGUGUACUUUUUCGUAUGGUAGGCCAACGUCAGUUUCGAUUAUCAUAAAAUGACCGGCGGAAUGUAGCUUCGAUUUCGGUUGAAGUGUUAUAGCCUCUGGUAGAUGUGGUGAUUGAGACUGAGGAUUGCAACGAAUACCCUUUGGGCUAUCCGUCUGGCCUCUGAAAGUUGCUCAGGUGCCGAAAGCGUGCUUACGGUCAUCUAAGAUAACGUUCAACAGGUUAGAACGUGAUUACAUUCGUUAAGGAUGUUGAC